rnacentral:rRNA from 1 species
UACGUAGGGUGCGAGCGUUGCCCGGAUUUAUUGGGCGUAAAGAGCUCGUAGGCGGCUUGUCGCGUCGACCGUGAAAACUUGGGGCUCAACCCCAAGCCUGCGGUCGAUACGGGCAGGCUCGAGUUCGGUAGGGGAGACUGGAAUUCCUGGUGUAGCGGUGAAAUGCGCAGAUAUCAGGAGGAACACCGGUGGCGAAGGCGGGUCUCUGGGCCGAAACUGACGCUGAGGAGCGAAAGCGUGGGGAGCGAACAGG